rnacentral:lncRNA from 1 species
CACAGGAUUUGUGCCUUCAUCGUUUGCAUACUUCAAGCACUUGCACAAUUGAUAUUCAAAAUAAUCGAGAAUAUGAUGUUUGACCGAAUUGCAAAUACCGACCGAAAACUGAAAUGUGAAGCGCAGGUCCUUCCAUAGAGGGCUUUAGACAAAGAUUUCAAGGCACUCUACUUUAGAAAAGGAAAAUGUUAGUGAAGUCAAUCGUGUCAAGGUAGAAACCUCCUCCGUGAUUGUCCUCAUGACCUGAUCAGACCACAAAGUGUUUGGGUCUACAUCAAUCAUGAGUUCUUUUAAUGAUGAAAUGCUCGAAAUCACCUUGGACAUUGGGUUUCCGGCGCCAAAAUAUGACAGGGACAUGCGCAAACAUCUCAUCUGCGUUAAACUUCCAACUUGAAUAGGUAAAGAGAUGAUUCCAGUGCGUCGAAUGUCAAGCACCUCUAGAUGCACCAGUGCCUCUAUGCUUGAAGGUAGUUCUAUUAAGCCCUCGCAUGAAUUCAAGUAGACUGCCCUGAGAUGAGUCAAGCAAGGCAAAGAAGGUGGAAGGGAUGUUAUUGAAGGUGGAAGUAAGUCUAAGACUCGGAGUCUUGUAAGUUCAAGACUCGGAGUCUUUGCAUAGACAAGAAGAAGCUCUCUUGGAUCAUCAUUAAAUUUUUGUUUCUUUGCAAGAGUAAAGUCGAAAGAUUUGUGCAAUUUGAAGUUGCCGGUAAAUUGCACAAGUCAUUAUCCAUCAAAGAAAUUUGACUUGCAGAUGUCCAUUCUUCUUCCUUUGGCGGCUUUUUUAGCCCCUCUGUUAGACUUUAAAUGUGCGUGGAAGCAUGGUUUUGAUAUUAGUUAUAGUUUUUGAUUAGUGAUGUGUGCAAGUGCAUGGUAUAUUUUGUAGAGGAUAGACAAUGGACAAGGUAGGAUAAUUGAAGGACAAAGAACAUGGGAUAUGAGAAAUAGUUUCAUUAGUUGGAUAAAAUAGUUUUAUAAUAGUUGAAGAAAGUGUUGGUGAGGGAGCAUGAUGUGAUUUUUAUGCUUAGCUCCCACACAAAACAUGGAGCACUUGCUCCUUUAUAUAUAGACUGUCAAAGUAGGUGGAGGAAGUCUCUAGACUUCUCUACAAAUAGCUACUAUUAUUUUAUAGUAACAUAAGAUUGAAACUUCUAGAAUACAUAAGAGAUGGCAGCUUGUAGACUCUUCUAGAAUUUUUCUUGAAUUUUCUAGCUCAAAUCUAUCUUGAAGUUUCUAGAAUUGGAUCACAAAUUCUAAUACCCUCACAUGGUCUUGCCAAGNNNNNNNNNNNNNNNNNNNNNNNNNNNNNNNNNNNNNNNNNNNNNNNNNNNNNNNNNNNNNNNNNNNNNNNNNNNNNNNNNNNNNNNNNNNNNNNNNNNNGCUCUUUAUGGUAUGCAUGAUAAUCAUCUAAUGUACUUGCCCUGUAAUUUUGAGCAUGUAAAGUUGGUGCCAUUGGCAUUUUGUUCAUUGCACCUGAGCCACCAUCCUUGUUGAAAGAGUUCACUAAGUGAGAUUUUUUGUGCAGUUAAUUCUUUUACUAUCAUCUUCCUUUUGUUAACACCCUAAAUUUUUCUUUUUUCACUUAGAACCUUAGUCGCCGUAGAAAACAAAGAAUUGGUCUCUAAAAAAAGAAGAAGAGUAAACUAAAUAAUUUUCAUUAACAUGCAUUGUGUUUUCAUUAAAUUACAUCACAUAUAGACAUUAGGAGCAUUAGCAUUACUAGUAUUAAAAAAAUAAAAUUAAAAAUUAAAACAAAAAGUUAAAAAUAAUAAUUUUUUAAUUAAAAAAAAAAAGGCAUCUGGGCGGGGCUAGGGCCAGCCUUAGCCCAGUACCUCCUUCAUUUCCCUUUUCUUUUCCCCCACGUGAGCUGGCCCAGCCCACUUCUUCUUUAUAUUUCUCCCCGGCCCGGCUCUCUCCUCUUCUCUUCUCCUUCCCUGCCGUCGUCGGCCGCUUGCUUCGCGACAAACAGGAAGAAAAGGACAGAAGGACAGAGGCGAGAACGGACGGACGGAAGUGAGGCUGCGCGCGACGCUCGACCGAGAAUGUCAUGCGGUGCGGGUCUGCGAAAGGCAGCUGUCGUCGCUAAAAAAACAAGGGGGGUAAAUUAAGGGUCUGCUCAGUCGAGACGGUUCUUUCCGAGUCUUUAAGGGUGGGAUUGAAGAAAAUGAGACUGCUCCUGCGGGGCCUGGCACUGGGCUUGACUGUCGCUGUUAAGAUUUUCGAGCGUCAUGGGCAGCCGGCUCACGAAGAAUGGCUGGUAAUAUCUCAUGUGAUGAUCUUUUCUUUCUGGAUUAAUGCAUGUUUGACAGUUAGUAUGACUUUUGAACUCUUGCACUUUCCACGUGCCAGGCUGAAGUGAGUAUUCUUGGUCAUCUAGUGCAUCCAAAUUUGGUAAAGUUAAUUGGAUAUUCCGUGGAAGGCAACCAAAGGCUGCUUAUAUAUGAGUAUAUGCAACGAGGGAGCUUGAAAGAUCACCUCUUUGAAAGUAUGCGCACUUGUCCUUUAACAUGUGCUUGGUGCCCUUAAUGACAUGUCCUACAUUAUGUUCGUACUAUAUAAGUACUCACAGUAAAACGACCCACCUGUAGCUGGAUAUGGAAGUCAUGUCUCCCAAGAAAACUAUUUGAUUGCUACUAGAAUCUGGAUAAUAAUUUUAAGGAGGAAAAAAUGUCACUUGUCCUUAUUAUGGACGUCUUUCUAGAAGAUUGUAGGGUUCGGAACGAUAAUUUCCUAAAUAAUUUACAAUGCUCAUACUCUGUUGAAUGUUCUUCUGCCUGAAAUUUUUUUUAUGUAAAUUGCUUUUUUGAUGUUGGUGCCACCAACCAAAAGGAUGCAAUACCCGAGACUUUCAGUGUUAUCACAUACUCAGAGGACAUUAUAGUUCGAUGCCAGGGAAAAAAAAAAAGAUAUAGCGGAAGAUCAUGUGAUAUGGUCAUGAAAUGUCACUUUCUAGCAGCUUCAUCCGUGUGUGAUUUUAGUAAUGUUUUAUCAUCUUUGUCUCUCAAUGGUACAUCUUAGGGAAUCUUGAGACUUAAUUCUCUCUAACUUGGUCAUUUAGGUGCAAGAACACCAGAGUUGGACCGUAUCGAGGAUGAAAACUUAGUACAAAGCUUCCAAGUAGGCUAGUAAUGAUAUUUAAUGGAAGGGACAUGCUUGCCAAUUGAACAACUCUCGAAAGAUACUAAAUGUUUUUAAUAGCAGGGCAUAUUCAUUUGCAUAAGCGUUAUUUUCAUUUCCACGAGAAAAGAAAGGGAAUCCUGCUGUAGUUUCUACCAUAUUCUUGUCCUGCCUACUAAUUCUCAGCAGUUAUUUUCCAAAAGUUGGUAUCAGUUUUAACCAAACUGUCUUUGACUAUAGUGGCUUCAGAAAGGGAAUAUUGAUUUAUCUGUGAUGACAAACAUUUUAUUAGUUAAUUCUUGUGUUCUUUUGUGGGUUGAGUAGGGAAAUUGCCUCUUACUUGGUCUACCAGGAUGAAAAUAGCGCUUGAUGCUGCAAAGAGUCUUGCUUUUCUUCAUGGGGAGGCAGAACCGCCAGUGAUAUUUCGUAAUUUUAAUCCUUCCAAGAUCCUAUUAGAUGCCGUAUGUAUCAAAAGCUAUGGUGAGAGUCCUUUUUCCUUUUUAAUCAUGAUGCUUGAUUUUUUCACUACUCGUCUCUUUCAGGACUACAAUGCCAAGCUUACUGGUUUUGGACUUGCGAUUGUUCUCGAGGGAGAUGAGUCUAUCAGGGGAACAAUAGGCUAUGCUGCCCCGGAAUGGAUGAUGAGGGGUAUGUGUAUGUUUCUACGAGCAAUUUGUGGAUGAGAAAUGUCCAAAUAACCUGCACAAAAGUGCUUGAGUAAGAUUUUUGACAUGUCAAAUUAUCCUAUAGUAUAGAAAAGGAGAACAUCCCCAAUCUACACACUCAUUCACGGCAUGUGCACCAAUCAUGAAAAGGAACUGAAUUGAAUUCGGUAGAUAUCAAUUGUGACCAAAGACAAAAGAAUUACAGGUACCGUCAUAUGCUGAUAUGACCUCAUUUUCUCUUUGUGCUUCCUGUCUCUGCUCUGUCAUCAUAUAUUGUCACAAUAUGCAGGAAUGGUAUGAUCAGCUGUAGCUCUUGCACAUCAUGCUUAAGUUACUUUUCUUCUGUUUUAGUCCUGCAUGUGGUCUCGCAAAUGAUGUUAUUCCCUUACUUUCAGUCCACCAGAUAUCUAAUCAUUGGAUGGAUUAUAUUGCACAUUUAUUGCUGGAACUUCUGGACCAUUACGCGCAGCGUAGGUUGUGGAAUGACUGAUUGGUGCUCACUACCUGCAUUCCUUUUCUUUGUUAGAAGCAUCUCUCAAUUGUUGUUUUCUCCGAGUACAAUGUCUGGUGCUUUUUGAUAUGAUGCACAACCAGCGAUUACUGAAACACGGAUUUUAAAGUUCUUUUUGUAUGUGUUUUUACGUACGUUAAUGCUACAUGUCCAAAGGAUUCUUGGUUCGGAUUGGAGUAUCUAGGUUUCUUCAUGUAGCUAGCUAGUUAAUUUCCAGUAAGUGUGGUGGUCUUCCGUCCCACACGCACUACAUUAUUACCGAAAAACGUAAAUCUAAACUAGGUAUUAUUUGUUCCUUUGUUUUGCGUGGUUUAGAGCUACAUGUAGUAAUCAUGAUUUGUGUAUUUUUUUUACUUUCCCAUUUAUCAUUUAAGAAUAGCAUAAUUUUGAAAUCAUUAGAAAGGCGGUGGUUUUAUCUUAUACAUUUAUUGAUAAAGAGUUGAAGCUUUUUUUUUUUUUUUUGGCAUAUGUCCUUGUAAAUUUCAGUGAAGGCAAUGCAUUGAGAAUCAUUCACUAUGUUAGCGUUAAUUUUAUUGAUUAUGACUUGACAAUUUCUAGUAAAUUGCAUCAUUAUGAAUUGAUAGAAUAAUUAGUCAGUUCAUAUUUAUCAUGCUAUAAAUUACUACUUCGCUAAAGCAAAUACCUUGACAAGGCAGUCCAUGAAUGAAGUAUAUUAUUAUGACAAGAUACAGUAUUGUAUUUUGUAAUUGCCAUCAUCGAUAAUAUCACAAUUUGGGCUUUAGUACACUUCUAUACCCCGAAUUGCUUUGAUGAUUUCACUAAUACUCAAUAGGGUGCUUGACUAGUAUAAUCAUAAUAAAAAUAGGAGUGAUGGAAGGACAGAACAAAGUUAUUGUCUCAACCUUACCUGUUUUUGAUUGUUAGAGGGGGUUGAGAUAUUUGGCGGGUCCUCCAUGCAUUGCAUUUAUAUCCAAUUAGGAUCAACUGGUACGUAUUUUAGGUAUUCCUGACUACUGCAGGGCACUCACAAUGAAGAGGGAUGUCUAUGGUUUUGGUGUGGUCCUCACCGAAAUCCUGACCGGAAGAAAACCCUAUGACUUCACUGAUGAUGGACUUCUCCUUGUUGACUACGUUCGGUCACAUCUGGAAGAGGAAAGAAGUUUGUACGAAUUGAUAGAUUCAAGGCUUGGAAAUCAAUUCUCAGGAAAAGGUGCCCAGAUUGCUUUGCAGUUGGUUGUUCGCUGCCUUGAAAUGGAUCCAGAUGCUCGUCCCUGGAUGAGUGAAGUUGUCGAAGUUUUGAAGACUAUACAAGAUCUUCCAUACAUGGCAAGUACAUCAAAUAUUCAGGACAAUACAGGGAAGCGCUAGUCGUGGAAUGGCAUCCAAACUCAAACCAUGGUGAAUUCAAGGAAUACAAGUCCUUCAAUUCUGGAUGGGACCAACGCAUACCAUGCCACCACACCACCAAUGUUUGGAAGCCAGUGAUAAACUGCAGCAAUGUGCCGAUAAAUAGCCGGCAUUCAACCCCAUUUGUCUCCUUUUCUCCUCUUUCCUUUUUUGGUGCCAGAGUUUUGGCUUCCAUAUAAAUAUGCACUCUUGAUUAUUGAAAUGUCGACUCAGAAAAAUUAUAGUGUGAGUCAUACUACGUUUAUAAAGUCAUCCAUCGAGAGGUGGUCAGGUGAAGCCCAAAAUUGAGAAGUACGCUUGGGCAUUGAUACCUUUUCUCUACUCUACAACAUCUUAAUGAUAAUGAUUACCUUUGAUGAUGUCUAUUUGACAUACAUUUUCUGUGAAAUUUAUUAUGUAUCGGGCUUUUCCACAUUGUGGCAUGUCUUUGAGACAUGUUUUCAUUCUCGAUAAUCAUCUCUUUGUAUUAUAUUUCUCACAUAACUGAGGUGUUCAUUCAUUUGAAUUUGCUAAUUCGUUUGCUAUGUAAAAAUAUACGGUUGUUCUCUUUAAAAUAUCAGCCAUGAUAAUUGUUGGAAUUCUUUUGGGCCAGCACAUACUGUUGAAGCUAGUAUUGAAUUUUCUUUAUUAAAGACCGUACAUUCAACGUAGGCGAAUUUUAUUUUUUUAAAUUUGAGCCUAUGCGACCCAACCUGAAAAAGUUUUGUCAUGGGCCGGGGGCCCGGCCCAAGUGGGUGACGGGCCCGUUAACCGCGGGUUGGAAUGCUGGUGCCGUGGCGCCUCCAAGCUUUUUUCUUUGAGUUUUUUUCUUCUUCAUAAAAAAUAUAAAGUGUAUUCUUUUUAUAAAAUUUCUGUUUCUUUUCUUUCUUUUUCUUUUUCUCCUGCUCCUCUUGUUUUACUUUAAAUCUAAUCAAAGAUAUUCUUGCUUUUUUCAUGUAAGAAUACCUUUUCCUUUUGUAUUUUACAAUCAAUCUAUUCAUACAGUUGGACUUGAUCAAAUCCAAUUAUAUAUUAAUUCACUUUAAUUUUUCCGAACCUCAUUAUAGCCUUGAAAUCAAAUUUAGGGCAAAAAAUCGACAACGCUUUUAUACUACAAUCAAAAUGCAUAAUACAAGAGGAUCUGCAUUAUUUUACUAACUUUGAUAUUAAUAAGAUCUCAACAAAGACAUUCGAGAAAAAAUAACGAUACUCACAUAAUUUUGAAGAUUAUAAGUGUGCUAGAAAAAAACAAAACUUUUUUUUCCUCGUGACGUCGCCAAAGGUUUCUUUUCUCUGCACUCCCUCAGUUGCUCCCUUUUCCAUGUCUCCGUUCACUCCUUCACUUUGGCCUCUCCACAAUCCGAUGUACCCUAUUGGCAUUGAUUUUGAAAAUUACGAUUCAGGAGGAUAGAUGAAGUGAUGCCUCUUGACUAAUGAUUCCGGAACAUCAAUCCAACAAAAAGGACAAAAAUGUUCAACUUACGGUAACAGUUUCAAUUCCAAAAAAUUGGUAGCUGCAAAAAACACACUCAGUGAUUCUCUCAUUCUCUUUCAUUUACUCGGCAUAGACAAUUAUCCCAUGUUUCCAAGGCUGGAAAUAUAAAACUUGAAAUAAUUCACGAGGAAAUGGUGGGGUAGACAUAAUUAUCCGGGCAGAAUUCCACCUUCGGAUGGUGAUUUUUCAUUAAAGCCUCGGCUGUGUCCAUUACUGACAAAGUCCUUAGUCUUCCCCAAAAAUUGCCGCUUAUCUUCCUCGCAAGCUCUUGUAAUCUUACGUAUCUUGCAUAGGGUCACUCUCAACUCCAACAUAGCCUCUGCAAUCUGCAUCCCUACUUGUGUAUUCUCCGGCAAAGUAUUUAUAUGAAUUCCAGAUGUGACAACAGGAAAGAUUAUGUCUGGCUUCCUGAAGAGGCAAAAUGGUAAACCAGGUCACUCAUAGCAGUUAAUGUAGAUAUCCUUCCUUAAACAUGAACUAGCAAUCAGGUCAACCGAGAACUCAGGAGCCGUAAUAAUCAACAGAGCAUGUGUAAUAGUAUGGUGUUGUGAAACUUGCUUAAGAUUAUGAAACAAAUAGAAAAAACAACCCACAGGCUAUUCUUGCUACUGCAACAGCUUUUACAGCAAAGAAACAACUUCCUUGAUCAAUUUGAAGAAUGACUGACUACGCAUCUAAAAUGUCUCUCUACCUUUUCUCAAUCUCAAAGAAAAUGCAAAGAAGAAUAUUUAGCUUGAUCAGUGACUAUCAGGAACAGCAACCAACUUCCUUUUCUUUUUUAAUUUCAGUUAGGUCAGAUCCUAGUCACAGAAAUUUUAUAGUUACUAACGACAUCUGGAAAAUUGGAGGGAGAAACGGAGAUACCAGAAGCCUAGAGAAAUCAAGCCGUCCUCUCGUAUUAUUCCACCAUCCAGUGAUACAGCACCGUGAUCUAUGCAGACAGAGGCCUGCUUCAUGUGUUCUCUGGUGUCAUAAACCUGCAACUUGCCAAAAAGCCGAUAAAAUAGUGUUUCUCGUAGACCAAGGCCUUCAGCUGUUCGUGUUGCAAAAUGAUCAAAGUCUAUGUCAACCAUGUUAACUGCAUAUCCCACGAAGCCUGGAGGGAUUUCUCCACUAGGUAAGGUAGGAUGAGGAAAAGCCAGUUUCCUUUGAGGAUCACAGCCUUCAAUCUCUCCUCUGUAUGGGCUACCAAAGGUUUAUUGCAAAUGAAUGAGGAAAUGCUUUCAAGAACUCGAUUAAGUUGGUCAAGGAAUAUGAUCUUCCAUAACAAUAAAUGCUAUAAAAUUAUAAAAAUACCACUUAAGUACCUUAUUUCCUCAAGACAUAUGACACGAAAUUCACCUCUAAUAGACUUGCCAAGUUCAGCUGCUUUUGCAUAAACAGCAUUUUGGAGAUCAACUUCUCCGUUUUUGUCAUAUGUCUCGAGACUAAAUGCCGUCUCGGAGUUUGUGCACACAAUCCCGAGCAUUUGAUCUUCACCCAGAUACUUGGCUAAGAUCCUCCAAAAUGGAAAAUGCAGCUUUAAGUAUCAAUUUGUCUAAAAGGUGAAAAGGGUAUUCGCAACAUUGAACAAGUGGGUCAAAUAGAAGGGUCAGUGAUAGUUUACCUGCUAAGCUCAAUAUUGCAAAUUGUUCCAAGAAGUGCAACCACACCGAUGAUGCCAUCUCUAGAUCCUCCAUGUGGUCCUUCUGAAGCAAAAUUUCUGAUCAGUUCACAGAGAACGGAAGCCGCCGAGCCAUCUCUGUUUUCUAUCAUGUCUAUCAUUUCCUCUUUGGCGAAAAAGCAGUCCACAAUGUUCAAAGGCCCUGCAUAAACUGCAAAAGUUGGUCCUACUUGUCACAACUGGAUUUGCCAGGCAAAGUGAAUAAUCACACCCCAGGUGAUUUUGGUGAAAAGCAACCAUUAACUGAGCAAUCAUUUUCGUCCUAACUUGAUUCAGAUCUAUAUAUAUUGUAUGUUGGAGUAAAUGGCAAAUCGUUUUUUCAAAAAGCAUCACAUUUCUUCAUCUAGAGACAAAGAUGAUAAUAUGAUGAGAGAGUCAUAAUAUGACAAUCAAAACAUGGAUUUAUAUUCUUUAAACUUCCCAAACUAAGUAGCCAUAGGUCAGUGAUAUUGACAAGACCACAAGGACAAAGAAAUGCGCAUCAUUGCAAAACAGUGUUGCAUGCAUUUAUAAAAACCAAUUAUUAUUCAGUAAUAGAAUUAACCAAGACAAAUCACCUCCUAACUCCACCAAAGAUUGCUCUAUUUCAACCUUCCGGUCAUGCAGCAACUUCAGUACCCUUUCCCGAUGUUCAAUGCACGAACCAGUUUCCUCAAGAACCUGUGAGAGGCAGUAAGUGUAAGUCAUAAGGCACAACUGACCACAUAAGUAUGUGAGAAUGAUGGGCAUUAGCUGCAACUAACUGACCUCAUUAGAACAUGAAAGAAGCUUAAAUUUAGAAUCUUAAAGCCAGGUACUUAAAGAAUAAUUACGACUUCAAGAUUACAAUAGGAAUUUACCCUUUCCCGAUGUUCAAUGCACAAAGCAGUUUCCUCAAGAACCUGUGAGGAGCAGUAAUUGUAAGUCACAAGGCACAACUGACCAUAUAAGUAUGUGAGGAUGAUGGGCAUUAGCUUCGACUGACCUCAUUAGAACAUGAGAAGCUUAAAUUUAGAAUCUUAAAGCCAGGUACUUAAAGAAUAGUUACGACUUCAAGAUUACAAUAGGAAUUUACAAACCACAAAUAACCAGAUUUAUGAGAGGGAUGUAAUGUGCAAUAAAGAUCUAACACAAUACCUCAUUCUUGAUGAUGGAAAGUACAUUCCCUUUAUUAUUAGGGGUUGAUUUGUCCUGUAGCAUCAUUAUAUUCGUAUUUGGACAUAAGGUUUGAAUCUCAUGCUGCAAAUCUGAAGAAGGCUGAAUGCCAAUCUGCGUAUAAAAAUCAAGUUCAAUAAAUGUACCACUGCAAAUUACCAACACAUUACCAGAAAUAAAACGUUGCGACCUUGAUGCUCAAAGAUAACUCUCGGUGACGAGAAUGAACAGCAGAAAAGCUAAAGCAACCAGCAUCUCGAGGGACAGUAAGUGAAGGAAUAGUGCAUCGCCCCUUUUGGAAAGCAUAUAAAGUGGUUGUUUUUGUGACGGAUGAGUCCAGUUUUAUGGAAAGUGUAUGAAAAUGGCCAUUUUCCUCAUCAUUGUGGAUAUUCUCAUCGAGAUUACCCUCUGUAUCCACAAUUUCGAAGACGAAAUUCUCUAGUUGGGAACCAGCCGCACAAAGCUGAGGCACCUGUAAAUCAUGCCAACAUUAAAACAAGUUUCUGAAAUUGAAAUUAUUGUGCAACUAGAAGCAGAAGACUAUACUAACUGGUUCUGCAAUUCUGAGCUCCCUUUUUUCUGUUUGGAGCUCUUCCUUGAAUAUUUCUUCACCGACGGUUGUAACAGACAGCAAUACUGUAUGCAGGUAAUGAAUGUAGUUAUCCCCAGACAGUCAGUAGUUGCUAUAAGUUUGAAACUUAAAACACUAGAUAGUACAAAUAUUGAAGCUUCACUUUCAGCACAGCUGCUACGUGAUGACCAUAUGGAAUCUAUUGGAGUUUCCUUCAAUAUAGUGAAAUGUGAAUUCAUACCCUCCAAUGAACUUAACGAAAUAGAUAGUUGUUGGUAAAGAAAUUGCACCUUUUCUAGAUGCCUGGUACUUCUAAUCCUUAUUAUAAUAGUUUAAAAUUAUGAGAACAUUUUCUUACACAUACAGAAAUAUAGACUUUGACAAAAGAUUUGGAAUCACUAUUAUUAAGGGAACAUUACAUUCUCAGAUCCUUACUCUUCUCCCUACCCACAAAUCUGAUUACUGACUCCAUAUUAAAUCUUUAGCAAAAUUAUUAUGAUAGAUGCUGUGUGAACAUGAAAUACAAACACCAUAAUUUUAGUUCCUAGCAAUAAAUAUCAUCAACUGAUAUGUCCCAGAAGCAAGAUUAAAAUAAAACACCUUUUAAAUAAAACUGUGUGAUUUUGAGUCCACACCGCAGAAAGCCUGCACUCCAAGAAAAAGGACUCUUAUUUACCUCAUAAAUUGGGAGUACCCAAAUCUUUGUUUAUAGGUGUCGUGUUAAGCUUCAAUCAAUCAACGCUACAAUGAAUAACUAAAGUUCAUCGACCUGGAGUGUAAACUAUACUAAUUGAAUAAACUGUAUGGUCAAUUCAUAAGUUGAAGAAAUAAAAGGUGACUCAAUGUAAUUAUUUUAAAAUAUUGAUUCAUCAAGUCUACUAGUUGAAUUAUGGUAAAUUGAAACUCAAACUUUGUUGUGAUUACAGUAAACAUCAAUAUGUGUCGAUGAUGCUACCUCUAAUGUUUCUUAUGUUUUACAUAAUCGCUAAAUUCUUCCCAUUCCCAAUUCAAGCAAGGUUAAAGUAAUUUCAUCAAGAGAUAAACGAAAAAUUUCCAAAAAAAAAAAAUGAACGAGUUUUAGGUUUAUACUAGCAGGAUUUUUUUAACCCUCAUCAAGGAAAAGGAAUUAAUUUGAAAGAAUAAAAACAGGUAUAGAUUAGUUAGAAUAAGGAUGAAACUUUUCAGUAAUAAAAGGUAAUAAUGAUAGGCUGAGUAUGUUUUUCUUUUACUAUAGAAUUUCUGAGUUAUUUGCUUCUUGUAACUUUCUUUAUUAUAUUGAGAGUGAUAAGUCCACCCUUGGUUCAAAAUAAACUGCAUUGAUUUAAUGGCAAUGUAGGAACUAAGAAGUUAGUUGUGAUAAUCAAAAUUUAGCACUUUUCAAGAGAUUAAUGAGCUUUGCAUAGAAAAGAAAAUGCCCUAUCGAUGAUGAAUCCCAUAAUAGUUUACGAAGUGAUUUUAAUGGUAGAAGGUUGGGAUUAUAAUUAAGACCACGAAUGGGCCGCAUUUUCGAAUGGCCAUAGGCCUAGUAGUAGCAUUUUUGGUUGGAGGCUCAAUCAGCAAAUUAAUAUGUAAUAAUGAGCUUAGCUACAAAACUGCAAAAAGAGAAGGAAAUAUGCCUGAAAGUAAGUCUUAGCAUACCACCUGCCCCCUAAAUGGUGAAUACAUGAUCACUCUACCAUGUUCAUUCAAUUUAGAUAUAGCUUGUGAAAGUUAUUGCAAGAAUUUGAGCUAUACUCUACUACACUUUACUUGAUGUUCUUUUGUAAACACAGUUUCCUUCAACUAAAGAUUACCCAGAAAACGUUUGAAGAGAUCAAAGUAAAAGUCCAAGCUACAAACUCAAGGUUCAUACCAUUUUGAUUGUAACCUGCAGUAACUUUCAACAUGCCACUGAGAUGAACAAAUCCAUCACGAUCGACCUGAACAAGGAAUUUAUUCCUUCUCUUCAAUAAUUUUCGACAGAGGCUAAACCAUCAGCAAUGCAUAUGCUGUUCCAACUAUGGUAUGAAUACACAAUACACCUCUACAAUGCGCCAAAUCUUUUUGGGCCACCGACAUGCUAUUUCAUCGCUUGAACAGUUUAUGCCCUAUAUCUAAAAUGCCAGCAGGGUCAUUCCCAAUAAUAACAACAGAAAUGUAGGUAAAAUGUGGGAGCAAAAUCACCACAAAGUUCCUGUUGCUUCAGUUAAACGCUCUCAUGCACCUAUGCAACUAUGGAAAGAUAAAUGCCCUGACUAACAUGCUGAAUCGGUGUCAACAAAGGCCAUCUUUGAAGCUUUGUCUGGGAGAGUGGAGAGAAGAAAAUUUAGGUGUAACUAAACAAAACCUUGAAUUUUCCUUCCAAACUCUCACAAAAUCCGAAUUCUUACCUACCCACUUUCCGCCCAAAUUUUCAUUUCCCCCAUUUUCCUUCAUCUCCCAAACAUAGAAUAAGAGAACAAAUAAUUAAUUACAGAAUUUACGCAAUAGCACCACAGGGAAUCAGGGAAAGCACAUCACCUUGUGCUUUUUACCCAUCUGAUCUUUACUGGAAAAUCCCUCAACCUUCAAAAGAACUUCAGAGCCCUUCAAAGCAUGAUUUCCAUAAGCAUCAAACAUCUGAAGGAAAUGAAUCAAACAAAAGACAUAAGCAAGAGUGGCAAAAAAUUUCUUCUGCAAAUAUACAGCAAAUUAUUGGCUAGAAACUUCAUUCACAAUUGGGCUUAAGCACAAGGCUUGAGAGGAUGUGCUUUUAAAUAAGAGAACAAAUAAUUAAUUACAGAAUUUACGCAAUAGCACCACAGGGAAUCAGGGAAAGCACAUCACCUUGUGCUUUUUACCCAUCUGAUCUUUACUGGAAAAUCCCUCAACCUUCAAAAGAACUUCAGAGCCCUUCAAAGCAUGAUUUCCAUAAGCAUCAAACAUCUGAAGGAAAUGAAUCAAACAAAAGACAUAAGCAAGAGUGGCAAAAAAUUUCUUCUGCAAAUAUACAGCAAAUUAUUGGCUAGAAACUUCAUUCACAAUUGGGCUUAAGCACAAGGCUUGAGAGGAUGUGCUUUUACCUCCAAUUUGAGUUCUUGUACUAUGCACCCUGGAAGCAUUUGGAUACUUCGCAUGGAUGGAUGUGCCAACACUCGCCGCACAUGACCAGGAAUAACUAUGAGAAUGUUGAGAAAAUAAUUUCCAGGCAUAUCAAUAGCUAAACAAUUAACAAAUCUCACGCUCAUGCUUGUAAAGGAAUUUAAUCCGGAAUGCGAUACCUUUACAUGGUAUAGAAAUGGACAAAGAUUCAUCCGGUGGACAUAAAAGCAUUGUGCCCUCAUAGUUUGGCCGGAUGAUGUCUAAAUCCCCACUUUCUAUUAGUAUAUCCUACACAAUCAGAAAAUCUGAGUUACCACAACAAUGCUUGAGAUACCACUGUAUCUCGAUAGAGUUAAAUUUUAGUAAAGUGUGCAAAUCUGAGAUGGGCCGGACAUAUUAAAUAGAUGCGCAUGGCACCUUAAUUCUUAGAGUCCUUUUGUCAGAUGAAAGGCCUGCCUUCAUUUUCUUUACACAAAUCAACAUGCCGUUACCCAUCUUGAAUUGCAAAUUGACUUUUGGAGUUGAUGGGAAUGGAAUGAGGUUCCCAUAUUUGUCAUAACAUGCAACAUCUAAAGGUGGAAAGCAUGAUCCAACCUUGCCAAAAUAGCCAACAAAUUACAUUACAAACCUGGAGCUCCACAUAUACAACAAAACAGUAAAAAGUUGGUACUAUCAAAAACUUCUUACCAUCCUUACCUGACUCUAAGAUGCUCAUUCUUAUCAUAGCCCAAAAGUUGCCACCUUCCCACCUCAGCAGAUGCAAGAACUGUCACUUCUUUUUCAUAGUUUUUACAGCUUGUCUCAUCCUGAUCAAAAGUACAUGUCAACAAAAUAAUGUUUGAGAGGUAUUACACAAUAAAAAGAGCAUUUGGUGAUAAAUUUUGUCCCUGUUUCUUUAGCUGGCAGAAAAGAGUUAAAGAUGCUUGCUUACCAUAUGCAACAGAAAUUUAUAUAUACCGGAUUUCUGAAAUAGUUCAUGAGACUUGUGCUGCAAGGAAAAGAUGUAUAGACCAUGGUAUCCUCUAUAACAAGAUGGUGUCACGCGAGAUGAAUAAAGAUGACUUUCUCGACCAUUAUCAGAAUUGCCACUGAAUUUGACUUCCAUUGACAUUUGCAUUUUAUUUUUGACAAUGUACUUCUGAUCCAAGUUCUUCGGAGCAGUGGAGUAACUGAAAUUUGCUGGCCGAACAACGGCUACAAUUUCCUUUGGAGGGUCUUGUCCAGCAGGAAUGGGUGCAUGAACUGGUAACACCUGAAAACAAAAAGACAAAAAAGAAAAUAUGAAUAAGCUAGUAAUAUAGACAGAGGACAGAUAAAUCUCAAUAGUAUUCUCAGGUCAGCAGUUAUUCUAAGGAGAAGGAACACAAUAUGUAACAUCAUGCAAAAAAUCUCCUUAGCUCUUAAACCUUUCAGACCAACAGAUUUCACCUAGAUGCUAUAAAAUGCUCGAACAAGGUUAUAUAGGAUGCUCCAAGAACUACUUUCUGCAGUCACCUGUGAAUUGAAGAUCGAUUUACAAAACCCUAAUUAGACACGUACCUCAUGAAUUCCUAACUCUUCACAUUGGUUGGCAUCUAGCAAGUCAAUCGAAGAUGGAGCUUUCAAGCGCUGCUUCUCCAACUGGCACUCCCACUCGGAUUUCCCAACAGCUACUAACUGGGUUUGGAAGCUCAAGAUUGAGUAGAGACCACAAAGAAUCGUGAUUUUGGACAUUAUACGACAUAAAGAAGUAAAAUGACAUUCAAAUAAUCAAAUAGAUACCUCUCCAGAGUCAAUUACUCCAAUAGGUAUAGAUACAGAACUCUGAACCUCCAAGCAAACGUUUCCAUCGUGCUUAUUGAGGAUGCAGCCUUUCUCAUCAGGCACCCCUAGUGGCCUUUCACGCAAAAUAAUGCAGGGACAGCUUGUUAGCAGAAUCUUGAGGUAUCCAAUCAGUUGAUGAAAACUGAAAACACUUCAACCACAAAAUCGAAAAGUGACUCACCUGCAUAUGAUUCGUGCUUCCCCUGCAGAGAGAAGACGGUCAGAUCAAUUGACCAAUACACUUCAUUGAAUAGAAUAGAGAAACAUCGUCACAAUAUAUAAACUGUUUUCUCAAUCAAGUUGAGGGAUCUUCUGAUCUGGAAAUCCCCUAUGAGCAGAUAGACAGUUAAAACUCGAUCCCAAGAUUUUUCUCCGAAUUAAUACAUGAUCUAAUUCUUUCAUUUCAAUCCUAGCGAACAUAAGUACUGACUGAUGGUUUGAAUGCAAAAUGCUUCCGUUGAUCAAUGUGGGACACUUCUAAGGAACGUCCUUUUCUGUCCAAGUCUCCUUGGAAAACAUAAUAAAAAUCAAGUCAUUGAUGGUGAAAUAAAUUGUCUGAAAAGUCAUUUGACUACUAUGGAAUAGGCACCAGUUUGAAACUUAGAGUUACCAUAGAAGCUACAAUGUCUGUACAUAUUAGAUGCAGAGUAUCUCUUUAUGCUUCGAAUCGCAUGCUCAAAUAAUAAUUCCAUUCUGUUUAAGUAUAAACGUUAUCUGUUAGACAUACUGAGAUAAUCUAACAUGCCCACAAUAAAAGUAUCUUUUCGCAGAAAGCUCGAAGUAAAAGCAAUUAAAUAAACGCAGGUAUAUCAUUUCUUACCACCUCCAUCUCCUUGAAGUCCUUCAAGCAAAAAAUAUUCCAGAGUAGCAUAGACAUUCUUCUUGUGCACUCCGGCACAUGCUCCUUUGAGAAUUUUGAUUUUCUGGCCAGAUCUCCAAGACACUCCCUUCCUUUUCAUCCGACGGUGCACUCUCACAACUAAGAUAUAAAUUUUUAUAUUAACUAAUUGCACCAUGAGCAGCAAAGCAAACAAAUAAUAGGUAAAACAGGAAGUAGUGUGGUCAAAGAAUUUCAAAAGAUAUUAAACAUUUUGCGCAAGACAGGAAAAGACUGAAUAGCGAACCACUAUCAUGUGACAUAGCAGAACUUCACCAGUAAUCCACCAGAUUAUGAUAUAUAUCACUUCUACAUACCGUCGGAUGAUACACCAAGUGCCUUCUUGUUUCUAGGUUUGAUUAUGAAAACAGCUUGGUCCUCGCCACUGUCAACCUCUUCAUCAUAACGAUCAUGCAUCUGGAUAAUCCAAUCAGAAUACUCCUUUUCCAGUUGCAAAGGAGUCAACAACUUCUCUUCUCUGUAGAUUUUAACAUUUAUUCCUAGAUAAUGGACAAAAAUUCAUUAAGGACUUUGGAGUGAAAACCACGUAAGUUUAAGUAGAAGAUAGUGGAAAUAUCUACAAGCAUGACCUUUUACUCCAUCAAGAGGCCUGCCAAUUUUUCUAAGAGCACUGGUAAAUGGGCUGUGCUGUGCCAGAUCUGUCUGUCAAAAGAAUGGAGCAUUGAGCAUCUCUAUAUGAAAAGUUCCACAAGAAGAUGAGCAAUUUACAUUUCUCAAGCAAUUUAGAUGAUGACUAUACGUCAUUCAACCUAUUUUUGGUCCUUUGAUUUGACAGAAUAUUGAAAUAUCAAAACAUGCAUUCAUCUACUAGCUUAAGCUUUCAGAACAGUUGAUAGUGAUCUUAUAAAAUCUCACAUGGUAUCAGAAUAGGAGGUCCUAAUUCCGAGUCUUUUCAAACCCCUAUUUGCCUCCCAAUGAAAUUUUCUCAUGCUUAAUACUCGGCAAAAAAGACCAAACUAAGCAUGAGGGUGAGUGAUAGGGUAUUAAAAUAUUCGACACGCAUUAAUCUACUAGCUUAAGCUUUUAGAACAGUUGGUGGUGGCAGUCUUACAAAAUCUCACACAUAAACUCUUUUGCUAAAGCAAAGUAUUUCAAGUAAUGAGCCACUUACAUAAGAUAGACAUGUUUCGGUUUCGAUGUUUUCCAAAAGUACAUUAUUUACUUAUCAAACAAAGAGUCAGCUCAAUAGAUACUAGACAUAUGAAGAACCAAAAGAAAAGGAAGUGAAGAAGACCUGUCUUUGAAAUGUUGAUCAUCAAACUUUUGUCAUUUCCCAUUAAUUGAAUUUAAAAAAUUUAUUAAAUUAUUUUAAGAUGUCAUAGAAAAGGUACUCAUCCUAAAAUCUACAAACGGGAACUCAAAAACCUUUAAAUUUUAGUAAGAACAAUAUUUUACUGCAAAGGCUUACAGCUACUGUGUAUGCAUACUUCUAACCUCCUCUCCACCUAGGUAACAGCGAUGAGAAAGAUUGGAAACAUCACUGUCAACUGACAAAUAACAGACGAAUGACAACAUGUUUUGCCCUGAGAUAUAACACUUGAAGGAAUUAAUAAAACACUGAAUUCAUAUGUGCUAAUAUGACAACAUAAAGAGGUCUCAACUCUGAUCAAACUUAUGACAGCCACAUUCAAAAUGCUACCAUUUUAUCCAUGAAGAAGCCACAUUCCUACCAACACACAUCAAGAAAUUUCAGAAGGAUCCCUCUGGCAACAUUCAAAAUGCUACCAUUUUAUCCAUGAAGAAGGCACAUUCCUACCAACAUACAUCAAGAAAUUUCAGAAGAAUCCCUAUGAAAAGACAUGAAUUAGCUGGAGACAUUUUUUUUUUUUUUGUGUUCUUGCUCUGGUUUGCACCUCCAAAACCGCACACUCUGUUUGGCCUUGCUAAGAGAAAUCUCUAGUUCCUAGUCCAUAUGUUUUCAGUAGAUCAAAGCAUUUGAAAGUCUUAAGUUACAGAAAAAUGUCAGAACUGGGACCACUAAGUAUUCUAAUAAUGAAAGCCUGAUGGCCCAUGAAUAGGCAGUAGAGUUCCCCUCACCUUGGAAGGUGUUGGAGAAAAUCCAGCAUCAGUCUCUGCAUCAUCAAAAUAUAAGUAAGACAUCUCAUGAUGUAUAGAAUUAAAGAAAAUGCAGUCCCACUAGAUAAGAAAGGUCCUAAUAAUCAGUGAUAACCAUACCAAUAAAACAUUUAACUCUAAAGAAAGAUCUCCUGAAUAAGUGAGCUUUAUCUCCUUUCUUAUGUCUCUCCAUGAAUGGAAGCAAACCCUGUAGUAGAAAGCAACUAUGAGAACAUUACUUACCACAGUUAAAGAGAGACAGUGGACGCAUCAAAUACUUGACAAUGGCGCUUGAUUUAACCCAAAAUUUUCCAUUAGAUCAAGUUUCUCAGACAGGACCUUCUCAAUGUGCACAUGAAAUUUUUAUAAGAUAAGCCACAAUAUGUUUAGUAUUUGUGUUUUCUUGUAAAUCUUGUCAGAAAUUCCUUCAUUUUGGAAGAAAUCUUAAGUUUGAUGAUAUUUCACAAUAUACGAAAUGAAUUACAAAAAACCUUGACUGUUAAUAGAGUGAAAAUCGAGAAAAAUACAGGUAUAAGCAUGUUUCUUGCAAAAUGGUUCUUAUUAGCUGACUCACUACCUUGGAGAAGAUGAUGUCAACAUUUGCAUAUAUGCACUAAAAGGGAGGAUAAGAAAUGAUCAAAAUGCCUUUGACGUGGGCAAAGAUCUGAAACAAGAAAAGUUCAUUUUGGUGGUUGUCAUAGACAUAAUGGGUUGCCACAGGCAUUUGCUAGAUGUAAAAGCACAUAGACAUAGACUAUAAGUUUUGGGCAAGAUUGCCUACCAAGGAAAGAGGAAGAGCAUGAUUUGGUGGGGUUACCAUUUGAAAAAUUUACUAGAGUUGAUAACAUGAGUUGCAUUGAAGCACAACAGCUAAGAAGUUUUGAAAUGUCAGGAUGUCAUUUCACCAUUGUUCUAACAUGCAACGCACACAACCGGUUACAUGAUGUCUUCUAUUCCCAGCACAGCAGCCACAACAUAGAGGUAAGAAAAUGGUCUCAUCAAACCUAUAAACCAGCCUGGCCAAAAAUAAAAAACUUAUAAACCAGCCUAAGAAGUUAUACUUAAUACCAGCUUUAAACAUGACCGGGUUUGCUUAAAAUUCAUGCAAGGAAUGAGCAACGACUGUUUGACCUUUCAUAUUAGGGCAACUAGAGGCAAGAAAUAUGGAUCACACAAACUCCAUCUGUUGAAUAUGUUAAUCAGACUUUUUCCAGGUUUGCAGAAUGCUUGCUUUCUUGAUGUAUCCAUUAGAUGAGCAAUUGCAGUCAUAAUUGUCCAACUUCCGAAAGGAUAACCAUGGGGCCAGGUGUCUAAACCUCGCUUCUUGGAUGGUUUGUGGAAAAUGGAUUAUGCAAGACUACUGGGCCACUAGAUCUAGAUAGCGACAAAAGAGAGGUUUAAAUAUCCAUCUCUUAACCGGGGGCUGUAUACAAAAAGAUAAAGGCUUGAGGAUGUGUGAUCAAUAACAAUGUAAGCUGUACUAUUUUGGAGCAGCAUAAGUUUUAAGGACCGUUAAAUGUGCUAUUGCUUCUAGGCAUUUAAGCCUGCAACUCACUAUCCUUAUCUUAUGUAAUGCAAGGGAGAUGCCUGGGCUUUUCGUUUCAUCAGCUUUUCUUAGUUUGAUUAUAAUAUCCAAAAAGAUCCACAACUCACCCAGCAAGCAUCUGGAAGCAGUCGGCCAAGACGUCGGAUUGACACUCGACUGAAAGAUUCAUAGCUUUCAGCCAGUCUGCAUCCAUCAGCUUCUAACUUCUCUAAGAUUCUCUCAAUGUUUUCCUUCCCCUGGAGUACUUAUAUUAAGAACUUCCUCCGCAGGAAACUGAAAAGAAAAGAAACUAUAAGAAUAUACUGCCAUACCUGAACAACAGGAAAGUAGACACACUUCAGGCAAGCAUUAGCCUCGUGAAUUGCUGUGGAACCUGAAAAGUAUUGCAGCUUUUUAUAUUAGAGAAAAGCACAAUCUAAGUGACAUUCUUAGGUAAAACUAGUACUAAAAGCAUUGAUGCCAACAGAUGAAAGAAGGGCCUAAGAAAGAUAAAAGGUGGACAACCUAGAAUAAAAGAUGAUAUAACUCUGUCUCCUCUUCUAUAAAGAAUGGGACAGAGAACUACAGAUACUUACUGAGUAUUCUAUUUGCGUCAGUGUCCUCUGUGAUCGAAAAAUGAACUUGAAUUAUAAAAUCAGGACCAUUGCAUGAAUGCAAGUUGGUAAUUGCAACCUCCCCUCCUUCAAUUUCAGCUAAAUCAAUACCAUUAACCUGACAAAGCACAAACUUAUUUCACGGUGCAAAAAGCUUACUUUGAGAUCCCAUUAAGCCAUAAUGGGUACUAUUUUUUCAACAAACCAUACACUAUGACACGCUCAUAUCAUAAGCGUCUAAAUAGCAAACCUUCUCAAAUUAGUUUAUAUAUUUGUAGGCAUAGCAAGAACACAAAAUCCGAAAUUGUUCAUAAAUCUGAACGACCUAGUUACAUAGCUGGAUUGUGCCUUUUCUAUCCCAAUAUUAAGAAUGUACAAAACUGCCUGUUCAUAGUGGACAAAAAAGACAAAAGCAAUAAUGCGUACUAUUUUUUCUGCAAACCCUACACUAUAAAUAGCAAGCCUUCUCAAAUUACUUAAUAUAUUUGUAGGCAUAGCAAGAACAAGGAAAUCUGAAAUUGUUUGUAAAGCUGAACAACAUAGUUACAUAGCUUAAUUGAGGCUAGCUAAAAAGUAAAAGCAUUAUGUGACCAAAGGAGUUAAUAUUAGAGUCCACCGUACUAACGGUGCAUUCCAUACCUCGAAAUGGACUGGUCUGAUAGUCCUCCUCAAAUUCGACAAACCAUCACACUGCAAACAUUCAAAUUAAUUAGAUAUAAAUCAAAUUCAGGCAUCCUAUGUAAUCCUUACAAAGAAGAAGCAAACUUGCAUAACUCUGAAAAACCAUUUUACCUACUACUUGCUAUCUUAGACAUUGCUCUACCUUGAUAUCCCCAGUAAUCCAGAAAGUCAGUAACAGUUAUGAAUUCACCAGAAGGGAGAACUCAUUAGCAUAGUUUUAAAUCAUAGCCAGGAGUAAUACUCUCAAAAUGUUGACCAAAGCCAUACCCCACAUUGGCCACAAUGCUAACUGAACCCAACUUUGUGGUCAGUAGCAGCAUUUAUGAACAUUGUGCAGUGAUGGCACUAUAGCAUUAUUGCAUGUGCCAUAGCAGUAACUUUUCAUAGGAGCAACACAGUAAUUAUGAUACCGUAUUGAUAUUCUAUUUGGCAAAAUCAACAGCAGUGUUUGAUUUACUCCAAUUUCUGCAGUACUUAAGCUUUCCACCACCACAAGUCCAGGCAGCGAAGAUGACAUAACGCAGAUCUGUCUGAAAAAUCUAGCAAAACUCUUUAAAAUGUUAGAAAAUUGAGACAUCAUUUUAAAUUUCAAAAAAGUGAUAUGACUCUUUCCCAAAUUUAGCUGAUGAACCCCAUAAAGCCAAGAGAAAAAGACCAGCAUGACUUUCUCCACUUGUAAUGAAAUAACAUCUCUAUAAAAGUUUUGUCGAAGAGUGCCCCGAGGCACUUACUAAGCAUACUUGUAUGAAAUGUUUCAAUUUCUAAAGCAUUAACUACACAUAACAAAAGUAAAACAGUGCAUAAAGAAUGGUGAACUUUCCUCAAUCUGUGGCUUAACAAGAGCCCUGCAGACACUCUUUAACAAAACCCUAAGCAAAAAUAGAUAUGAUUUCAGCAAACCUGAACAUAUGGGAAAUAGAUGUCCUUCAGCUUGCACGAGAGUUGAUAUAGAUUCACGUUUUUCAUUCUAGGCUCAAAAAUCUCAACCUGUACAGAUUUUAUACGACAAGAAUGCAUGAAAACAUCACAAUGUAUUGUCUAGGUAUCGAGAAUUCACAAUAUUUACCACCUUGUGACAAAUCAAGAAAUACCUGAAAAUUUUACCAGCAGAAUGUAUUUAGAAUAAUACAUAAAAGUCAUUAACUACAUAAUAUGCCCAAGGCAGUACAGGAAAGAAAUAAAAUAUUUGCUUCAAACUUCAUAGUAGAGGCUUUCCCCCAUCAACAGACGCCGACAUGCAUGAAGAGGUGUUCUAUCAAUCUUUAUCAACUUCAAACUGUUCAAAGAGUUAUGUCUUAACUCACAGUAGCCGCCAGUUUAUGUGUUUCAUAAUCCUUGUGAGGGUGUCUCGCUCACAUAUAGUUCUCAACUCGCCUCACAUCUUAUAGACUUUAAAUUCUCCCUAUCUCCUCCCACUGCCUAACGUCUUCUUUAAAUAUUUCAAUCCUAUAUCUCGAAAAAAAUAUCUAUAUUAUCGCCACUAUAUAAAAGUGACAUAAUAGACAAUCUAAAGCCUAGGAUUCCCUCAAGAAGAUUGACUUUGCCUUGAGAACAAAGUAAAGACAUGACCUGAGGAAGUCUUCGACUGGCAUAAUCAGAGAAUCUAGAGCCUACUAGUCACUCAAGACGGCUGACCUAUGACUACUUCCAAGUCCUGUGCCAUGGCCAAGCCAAAAACAAAUUUAUAGAGCAAUGGAGGUUACGUAAAAAGACAUGCUUUCAAUGGAUGAUGCCCGGGUCAGAGCAUGACUGAUAACAUCCUAGACAAUGGUUUUUACCAGGUUUGUAGAGAUUAGCCGAGUAAAACCUUCCCAGGAAAAAAAAAAAAAAAAACACACAUAGGCAAAAAUUUAGUUGCAAAUAUAAAAAGAAAAGACGUGCAUAUGCACCAUGAAAUGUCCAAUAAGUCAAUGCGAUUGACACUGAAAUACCACAAUAGAAAGAAUUUAUUAAAAGAAGUCUACCUUCGUGAAGCUUCCUUGAGGUGCUCUUGCGCUUUCAUUUUCUAAAGGAACCCUGACACCACCAUCAGUCUGAAUAAACGACAAAGAAAAUGAUGACAGAUUAAAUAAAUCUAUGUAUGGAAACUAAGGGAGUCCAGUCAAGAGAAAAAUAUGACAACAAUGAAGAAAUCAGUGAUCUUGCAUACUUUCCAAGAGUGUUGAGAACCAGAUCUGCUCAAUAGAGCUUCUCUCUUCAGAUGUAACAUGUAUACUCUUUUAGAUUGCAUAGUCUUGGAAGAAACCAUGGCAUGCCUGUAACUCGUUAAAAGGUAAAGAGGUGUAAAUUACCUCCACAAAAUAUAAUGGACUACCAGUUUCUACAACUACAAUACUCUGGAAUGUACCUUCCCAAAUGCAUAGAGGCAAUUGGUCCUCCAAAUCCAAACAAGCCAAAGAAAGGCUGCACCACGCUCAACAAAUUAUCCAGAAAAUAGAAGCAAUUUAAACUUUUAGAGAUUCAACACAGUUUAAUUUUCCCCAUUCAAAUCCAUGUCCAGGACGUGGAAAGGUGAAUUGUCAGCUAGUUAGGAACAUACUGUUGACUUCUCUCAUAUAAUUCCAACUCAUUGAAAACAGAAGUUUGUGUUUGCUUUUUAUUGGGGGAGGAUAGGGAAAAAUGUUUUUUGUAUUUCAAUGAAGCUAAUGCUGCAUGGCGCAAUGUUACUUUGAAAAUUAAUUCCGCCUAUGAGAAGUGGAAGGUAUCGGCAACAUUUUCGGGAAGAGGAAGUUGAUUCUUUAAGAACAUUGAUUAUGCCAGGACAUACUUGACAGUGUAUGAAUAUGGCAGCGGAAAAAUCAAUUCACUCCUAAUAUAUUGCAGUCAACCAAUCAUUCACAUGUGAUAUUAGCUUGCAUCAAUUUACAUCUCCCGGAAAUACCAAUGGAUUCCUGCUACUAGCAAAAGGACAUUUUGCAUGUCUUUUUCAUGCAGAGACUACAAUAUUCAAUUAAUGUCACGUGUUUAAAGAGAAAUUACCAUUAGAUACGGAGGUUUUCCACCUACUGCCUUAACUUUAUACUUUCUGUGAAGUGAGGCACCCAUCUUUCCCCUAGACAAAAAGAAUGAACGCAAAUCCACGAAAAGUUACAAAAAGAGAAUGAAAUCAGAAACCAAGGCUUGCUAGUGGAUGGAAUUUAAUCUUGUAGUUAAGCAUAUCUGUUUCUAAAAAAAAAAAAAAAGUUCUGUCCUAUCAAGUAUCUUUCUAUUAGAAAUAACUGGAAAGGAUACAGUCAGUUUUCUCCAUGAAGAAGCCAUCAUUUUGCAUUUAAGUAGCACCAGCCUCUUUCUGGAAAUAGAUAAUUGACUCAAGUAAUCAUCUGAAGACGAUGUAACUCCACAUUAUCAAAGCAUGUUCUAAAAGUCAUGUCACCAAUGUUAUUUCUUCGUUUUCAACUAGAUAACCAAAAUUUACCCAAAGCACAGAAUUCUCUCCUAAAAUUCUGUCCCCUCAAGCCAAGAUACGGUUUAUGGUGUAAGUUGCCAUGGACAAGUGAGUGUGUGGGUUUGGGUUAAAUAGGGAAGAAAAAACAUUGCUUUAGAGUACUCAAUACCACUUUGCUAUAGAGUUCUCAUCACUGUCAUCCAUUCCAGGGCCAGUGUCAAAGAUGGAGAUCUUUUCAUCAGAUAUAUCCAAGCUGCAAUUUCAAAACAAUAGUGAGUCAGGCUCCAAAGUUCAAACCCAAAAAAAUUUCAAUAAGAACGCAACUAGCAGAAGCAUCAAGAUGAAAGAUUAAAAUAUAGUUAGCCCAUGAUCAUAUGGCAUCAAAUGCCCAUCAUGUUGAAGUAAAUGCGACAAUCUCCAUAUGAAACUUAUGAUUCAUAAUAUAUGGCUGAAAGAUGUCUGCAUCGAUGAAGUCCUACGUGGUUCAGACUUAAAGAAGAGUUUUGUUGGCAAUUAGCAAACUGGCAGUGAUACUUCCAAACAAAGGAAAAGCUUCAAUGUUGUUUUCCAUUACUCUCAUUUAUUGUUCACUAAUUUAGUUGAAACAACAAGAAAGCAUGUUUACAAUUGUUCAUAUUUAUCCAGUAAACAAGUCAUCAAUCACCUCCUGUAGAUUUGCUUAGUAUAAAAUUUCUAUUUGAAAAGAAAAGGUUUUCAUAGGAGAAGUUCUAAGACGCACCCAGUUCAACAACUAGAUCAACGGAAAGAAGCAUCAUCCUUCGUACAGCUUCCACCAUAAGCUACAAUAUGGAUUCUAAUGUUCCGCAAAUUCUCAGCCUUAAGCCACAAAAGGGUUGAUGUUCCAAUCCUAAUGGUAACGUGACAAGAUCAAGAAAUCACCUAAUCAAUCUUUUAGAUUUCAGGGGAUUAGCCCAUACAGCUUGCAAGGAGUUAUCCUGGCGAAAGGAGCAGCAGUCAGUUUGGCAUCAAACAGGGAUUAUAACUUCCAAAAUCAUCAGGACAACUUACUAUCAAAUCUGCAAGAGCAGUUUCAAAAGUAUAUUCUUCAGGUAGCUCCUUCAACAAUUCCGUGUCAGGCGUUAAAUCCCACAUAUUCUGUGAGAGAUUUCACGCAUAUAUCAAUGCAAUCGCUUGAAGAAGCACAGAGAACUAGAGAAACUCCAUCAUAGCAUGCGUCAUGUGUUCAAAGGCCAUGAUACACCUCCCCCCAAAGGGUACCAUCAAAAUCCACAACAAGAGAACUCCUAAAAGGCAAGUGAUACCCAUUAUGCAGAAAGGAAUAAAAUACUAACCUCAAAAGUAUCAGUUGUGUUGCCAGAGCCAUCCUAAUUGGAAAAAGAUAAUGCAUAAAAAAGAACAGUAAAAUAAGUACAGCCAUUUAAAGUGAAUAUGCAAGCUCUCAGUAAAUUAGAAGACAGAGCAAGCGAACAACAUAUGACUUUUGCCCAAUACUCACGUGAAGACGCAAGAUGUGGCGCUUGUGAGGCUUAAAGUUGUCGAAAAUAAUUCGACUUUUGAUCCGGUUGCCAUUUGCAUCUUCGAGAUGCAACUCAUUACUCUCCCAUGCGAUGGGACGCUUGGACCUUAGCGAUGGAUCUUGCGCUUUGGCUCGAUUGUACCUUUCUUUGGCCAUCAGCAUGAAAUCUCCGGAGGCCAUCGUCGGGUUGGGUUCCCUUAACGCGAUUCCCACGGUAGUCCCAUUAGGCAACAAUAUGGUGAAUCUAUAUAUCCUGUCGAUAUCACCAUCAUUCAUCGCCUGCUGCGCAGGCCUCUUCCUGAUGCUCCCGCAAUUCUGGCUUGGCUCCAUCCUUAGCCAGCCCGAAACCUGUCGUGCAAAAAAGGGGAGCGGUAACAAAGAUCACACGGGUCGAAAAGCACGAGUAAGAGAGCAGAGGAAACAACCAUCACCCCCUCAACACAUUUGACUGUAGAGGUUCAAAACUGCAUGCACGAUUUCAAAAAAAAUCAUAUUUUUCGUGAUUUUCCUUUUCCCCUACUAACAUUCAUUCCCGUCUUUUCGUUAUCCCACAAACCAAACGAAUGCACGUCACCAGGAUAUUGUAAACACGAGAACAUUACGCGAAUUAGCUGAUAAAAUGAUCGCUCAAGCAGGGCUCGAACGCGGGUCGGCAGAAGCGGGUAAGAAGCCAGCCAACCUCUUUCCGGCGUGCGUAACGGCCUCGCCAACCGACUCCCAGCUCCGGCGAUAGGAUCAACGAGCAAACACCGGCUGCCGAUCGAAGCUCAACCGACACGUUCCCCGCAAGAACGUCGGAAAAAGCCAAAAAGGCGCGGAAGGUUGCCUGAGGGAGCGGAGGCAAUGCAGCAUAACAGAGGUAGAGCCCCCCGCUCUCCCGCCUCCCUCACCCCGGCAGCUACAACCGUCGUCCUGCGCGAUCCUCGACGUCUCUCGAGGGUUUCCUGGGAGAGUCGCGGCGCUGCGGGAGACGAAGAAGACGAAGAAGAUGGAGACGAAGACGACGAAGCGCGACGUUCUCUGCACUCCCCUGCAACUGAAUGGUCGUACCUGACUGGGUGUUGCUGCCGCGCCGAUGGAGGACAGGCCCCUUUGAGAUCGCGCCACGUGGACGUGGCAACAGCGACGGCUUGAUGGCAUUGAAGCUUUCCUCCUCCAAAUUUGCCGCUAAUGUAACCAGAUCAAUUACCUUUUUAGUUAUGAUUAUUGGAUUCUUUUUUUUAUCAUUUUUAUUGUGAAAUAUUCGAAAUAUCAAAAUAAGAAUUAAAAAUAGAUCUUGCUUUAAAUAAAAAUAUAUAUAUUAAUUUCAAAAAAUGAACUAAUGUGAUUAUAGAUGUUUCAAAUAAGAAUCUAACAUUAUUAACCAGCAAAAUAUUUUAGCUGAUUGAUAGCUAAGGCCGGGAGGGUUGCCGACGCCUAAACAACGACCUCGCCUCUAGUUAGUGAAAGUCACCAACCUUUGCUGCCAUCCCACCAACAAUGGGGUGGUGACUCUAUGUUUCUCCUUUUUGCAGUUUCUUUUUCAAGAAAAUAAAAAAGGAAAAAGACAAAAUUUCAAAAGACAAAAUUGCCUUUCUUAGCCAAUGAGUUCAAACCCAUCUUUGAAAUUGAUAUGGGCACUUCAGGCCUUUAUUUGAUAAAAUAAGAGCAUUUCAAGUCCUUAUUUGAAAUAAUGUCCGUUUCAAUAUCUUAUUUUAAAUUAAUAUGAGCAUUUUGAAUCCUCAUUUGAGAAAACGAUAGAACUUUGGGCCACUGCUUAAAAGAAAAACCCACUUCAAACCCUUAUUUUAAAAAAAAAAAAAAUUGACAUUUUAGGUCAUUGUUGAGAAUUUUCCCUUUUUGUUGUGAUAUAAAUUAUAUUUUUUUUCUAUUAGUUCGGUUUAGUUUGAUGGAAGAUAAAAACCAAUAGAUAUUACCUUUGAACAAAUUAAUAUAUUAGUUCGCUUUUAUGAUCGCGUUUAAUUGCAACCUGUUAAUAGUGCAAUCAUUCACCUUCUUAUUCAUUUUCUUAAGCAGCGACUCGAGUUGGACCACAUGCGACAUACUGCAUUGUAAGUGGAGAGUCAAUGUCGUGACUAGUUUCGUACAAAAAUAAAGUUAAAUGGGUCAUAAACCCAUAUUAUGACCCAUUUUUAGUUAAAUUUGUCAUAUACGGGUCAAGUAAAAGUUAAAUAUGGGUCAAAAAUGGGUUUGAGAAAAUAAAGCACAAAAAGAAAUGGGUUUAAAUGGGUUCGAGAAAAUAAACCCAUAUUAUGACCCACUUUGAAUCCAUGGGCCAUGGCCUUCUUUAAUUUUAUAAAAUAUUUUUUAAAAGAAUAUUCGAAUUUUAAUUAAUUUCAUAUUUCAAUUUUUUCUUUUUUCUUUUUUUUUCUUCCUUCCUUAGCUGAUGGAUGGCAGGGUGACGGCCGGCAAAAGGCCAGGUGAGGCUCGAGCUCGCCGGUGUCGAGUGGGGCCUCGCCUUGCCAGAUCGACGAGAUUGAGCCCCGCCCUAUGUCGGCGAGAUUGAGCCCCGCCCUAUGUCGGCGAGCUUGAGCCUCGCUUGUGGCCAGUCGCCGGCCGUUGUCAUGGCCAGCAACCGGCCGUAGAAGAAGAAAAAAGAAAAGAAAAAAAGAAAAAAUAAUAAUUAAAAAUUCGAUUUUAAAAAAUUAUAUUUAUAAUAAUUAUAAAAAUUUUAAAUUUAAUUUGUAUUGCAUAAAAUUUGUUUAAAAAAUUUGUAUUGCAUAAUAAUGUUUUAACAAUACUUUUUUUAAUAAAAAAUCAUAAAAAUGAGUUUUUUUAAGUUUAGUUAAAAAAUUUCAUGUCACAGUUUUUAGUUAUUCAAUUGUAUGUUCACACUUCAAAUAAGGGAAGCGUGUGCAUAGUCUAAUUCUUUAUAAAUAUUUCAAUUUAUAGGUUUUUUUAAACUUUAUUUUAUUUUAUUUUAUUUACUAUUUUUAAUUUAAUUUGAAAUUUUAAUCCAAUUAGCGUAUAGUAGAAGUGAGUUUUCCUAGAAUAUUAAUAGGUUUUAGCAAUACGGGUUGGAUCUGGUAUGUGUCGGGUAUGCGUCGGAUCGGGUAUAGGUCACUUGAUUUACACUAUAUGAAUAUGGGUCAAAACUCGUUAAAUGGGUCGAAUAUAGGUCGACCCAUAUUCGACCCAACCCAUCCAUUUGCCACCCCUAAAGCUUGCUAAUGGUGUGAGAAGUAGAUGUGAUGACCAAGCGUUGUUGAGGGUUGGGCUCAACAUGUCCCUCAUCUGUAAUGCCCGAUGAAAAAUACACGUUGAAUCUUUGUAUUAGACUCAAAUUACUUACCUUUUUCAAUUUGAAAAAUUUCCUCGCCAUACGUGUGAUAAUGGUGCAAUCAAAUUUAUUUCGUAUGCGGAGUUACUAUUUAAAUGAAGAAACUACCAUUUUUUGCCAAGUUAAUAUUUACUUAUUAUAAUGAAACGAAUCCAUCGAUAGUUAUUGUCGUUGAUAAUGACCGAGUACCCACUACGUUAUCUAAUGAAAAGCUCAGCCAUGAGACAAAAAUAACUAAUGUCGUGUAAUUUGAGGAUUACUUUUCUCGUUGGAGCUAACUAAUAUUCUCAAUAAACUACCAGUAUCGGAUGGAUAGACAAUCUUUUUUUCUAAUGCAUAAUUUCAUUAAUCAAAAUCAAAAAGUUACAUAGUAAUUUUUUUUAUGGGGAUAAUGAUACAAAUGAUCUAUAAAAUUUGACCAAAUGUGUAAUGUAGUAUUUGAACUUUUAAUUUGUUGCUUUAGUUCGAUGUUUAAUAUGGCUCAUAAACUUUUAGUGUAUUUAAUAUAACCCAUAAACUUUUUACACAUGUUCAAUGUGCCUUGAAUUAUAUGAAAAUGUUUGAUGUAAUCCUUCUAUUAUUUCAAAAUUGGAGAUGAUAUCAUAAAUUUUCAUAUUGUCCAAAGACUAAAUUAAAUACGUACUAAAAGUUCAAAGAUAACUGUGAAUAAAUAAAUAAAAAGUUGCUAGCAUGAAUUUCUCACGAACUAACUCUUGAGAUAAUUAGCGAUAGGGAAUUAUACACGUUUGAUUGCAAGAUUGGAUGUCGAUUUCAACUCGGCGAGAUACGAAAAUUUCUUAACGAGUAAUCGUGAGAUAUCAAGUCGCAUUGCCUUUCUCGUGAUUGUGCAAAUUAGUUGAGUAAUUUGCACAAUCGGAUUGUGGGGAGAUUUGCGUGUGCGCUUGUCAUGUGCUUUCAUGCCUGAAAGCGUUUCGAUCUAUUCAUUUCUUCCAUUGGCAAUUUCUAGUUGUCGCGCCGCCACCGUCGUGGAUAUCAAUUUUCAGGGGCGAUGUGGCGUCAGCAGGAAAUGAACUUGGCUCAAACGCAAUGCCCUCGACAGAGGUAUUUUCAUCUCCUGUCAGUCAAAAAUGUUUUGAGUGAUUGCAUAGCUCGCCCGUGCCGAUAGUGGGCAUGUGAUGAAAUUUGUACAUUGUACUAGACCUGUGUUUUAUGUGAGGAUAUUAGCUUUUGUUUUGGGUGUUUGAUGAAUUAGUAAUUUUUUUUUUUUUUUGUGAGUUACUAAUUCCAUUUAUCAUCACUGUUUGGGUGUUUGUUGAUUAUGAAGGCAGUUUGUCUUUUAAUUGUGUUUAUGUAAUUGUUUACCUUUAUCGAUCAUUCCGGGAUGCCCAUGGAGACUCUGGGGGCCUACUAGCUUGGCGACGACGAGACCGCAAGCGGUUCAUUUUUCUUCUUGAACAUACAUUGGCUCUUUAAAUUUACACACAAAGUGUUCAUUAUUAUGUUUAAUUGAAAUACAAUAUAUUUUUCUUGGGCGGAAUUCAAAGACGACAAACUACCUAAAGGUGGCGGAAUGAUCCAUUCAAUUGAUUAUUUGAAAACCGAGCGAUACCAAAUUUUGCAAUUUUUCCAUAACUUAGGAAUUGGAACGAUAUGGAAUUCCUAUAAAACUAUAAAUGUUUUAAGUCAAGUUCACUAACCAAUUUAGCAACCCAUCCAGUUGAUUACUUAAAAUAUAUGCAUAUGGUGUAUCUAAUAAUUCCAGGAAAAUGGCACCAUCGCCGUGCAUCUCAAUUGAAAAAUGGAAUGGAAAGCUUCAAGUUUCAUUCAAUUAGAGUUUUGUGAACUGAAGGUCUGCAAAAGCUCCAAGUUAACUCAACUUUUAUCGCUCUUCGCAUAAUCUCUUAUCUCAUCAUCGUUAUAAUAUAAAAUGACUUGGGUCUACAUUCAUCUGGUUGCAUUUCUUUCGGAUGAAUGCCAAUUCUAACAGGAUUUUAUGGAUGCUCUAGGAUCAUUCCCUGUAAAUGAAUAGGAGGAAAAGGCUAAGUUUUUUACCUUACAGCAAUUUCAAUCAGCUGAUAAUGUUCAUAUUAGUGGCCUUUAACAUUGUAGUAUGUUUGCGGGAUGUUCAUAUGGAGGAACUAUUGGAAAAGUCAUUAUACUUUGGCCAAGCGCAAACAAGAUUUUAGACCCCUAAAGAUGUUCUAAAUAAAGAGAUUGCAAACUGAUGAAUUUCGCCAAAGGAAAAAGAUGAUCUGUAACUUUUGGGAUAUAAUAUGAAAUUCUUUAAAAAACAAGAAAAAGAAAAAGAAAUGACAUUAUCUCAUCAUAAUUUGAUAAGUUUAUGGACAAAAUUGAAGUGUAAGAUUUCAAUGUAGAAUGUGAUCGUAAUUACAAAGAUUAGAGAAAGAGAAUCAAAAGAAAAAAGGAAUGUUUAAAGAGGAAAUAAUAAGAAAAUAAUGAAAUUAUAAAUAUAUGGCAUGUACUUGAAUACAUUAACCCAUAAGGUGCAAAAAGAAUGGAAGAAGAUAAGACACUAACCCGCAAAAAGAAAGGAAGAAGAUAAUUGACACCUUUAAACUAAAAAAGUUAAAGAUAAUUAUAUUGUAUAAUAUAAAUGAAAAAACAAAGAGAAAAGGUGUAGGGAGUGACAUGGAAGAGAUCUUUAGUAAAUUAGAAAAGGAAAAGAGAAAAGAAAAAGGAUGGGAGGGAAGGACAUAUGUCCUCUCAAAACCCUCGUUUAAUAUAAAGGAUACAACCUUAGAUAUAAGAUGCUGGGCAAACUCCUAUAAACUCAAUUAACAUAAUAUGCACGCCCUACACAAUUAUUCCUUGAUAUUAGUAAAACCUAUUAAAUGUUCAAAGGUGACUUUUACAUUAUGUAUUAUUGAUUAUAAGCACCGUAAACAAACUUGCGAUACAUAACUCGCAUGAUAUUGAGAAGAAACUACAUUUAAUUCACUAUUUCAUUAUAAGAAGCAACUACAAUUUGCAGUGCUAAAGAAGCUCAAUAUUGCAACAUGGGAUCUUAGGAAAAAAAAAACACCCAGAAUCGUUCUUUCUAUCAUUUUCAUCACGUCAUCAGUGACUAAUAGCCAUUGAAUAGAUUGUGCAUGCAGAGAAACAAAACGAAAGUCUAUGUUAAUACAUAAUUCCAAUCACAACAAAUAAGAUGAACAAGAAGCAAAGAGCUACAGAGAAAGGCUAAAUGAAGCUACAAAAAGACCGUAAUCUUUCCUCGAUAGCGUCGUCUUGCCACACCAAUGUAGGCCACCAUGAUUGCUCAGCAUCAAUGGAUCUCAGAUUGAUAGCAUUUAUCCCAGUAAAAGGAAGUUUCAACAAGGAUGGACAUGAAGCUAUAUCCAGUCUCUCUAGAGAAGGCCAAAUUAAUAAAUCAUUUGGAGCAAUGCUUCUUAAUUUCGGAAGAUCAUGAACUACUAGCUUUUUAAGACUCGGAAGUGUUCCCGGGUCCAAGCAAGGAUUCUCACUUUCAAUGAUGAUCUCCUCAAUUUCGUGGCACUUUUCGACACUCAAAUGCUUUAACUCAGAUAGUUGCUCAAUCAAUCCAUUUGAGAAUAUCUUCUUGAGCUUGGGGCAAUUGUACAAGGUCAAACUAGUCAUUUGGCCUAAGCUUCCCAUGGGCACGGGACCCUCCCAAAUACAAUGCAAACUUGGGGCAUUGUUUAUGACCAUUCUCUCUAGCCAUUCAAAUGCACAAGGUGGUGCUACAUUACCGUCGAUGAUGCAUAUGAUGUCCUUGCAGCCCUCUACUGAACAAGCUCUGAGUUUACUCAAGUUCUCAGUUCCAAAAUCUGAUAAGCUCUGUAUAUUCUUAUGAUCAAUCAGCUCAAAUACUUCGGUCUCAGUGAGUACUUCUGAGAUCACAGGAUGUGUGCCUUCAUCGUUUGCAUACUUCAAGCACUUGCACAAUUGAUAUUCAAAAUAAUCAAGAAUAUGAUCCUUGACCGAAUUGCAAAUACCGACUGAAAAUUGAAAUGUGAGGCGUAGGUCCUUCCAUAGAGGGCUUGAUCUGACGAAGAUUUCAAGGCACUCUACUUUAGGAAAGGAAAAUGUCAGUGAAGUCAAUCGUGUCAAGGUAGAAACCUCCUCCGUGAUAGUCCUCAUGACC